AAUCUUUCGCCUUAGAACCGGAGACAACAGAAUCAGACAUGUUCUAGAAGCUUAGAAUAGGAAUUGAUGAGAUUGGCUUUUUUUCUAACAGUAUAACUAAAUAAUCUGCAAUUCCUUGGAGAUAUAGUCAUGUUACAAACGUAAAAAAAGACAUUUGAGAAGGUUUAGAUAGAGCCAAAUAGAAGCUUGAAAACAGAAUUACAGAGGCGCCCCCCCCCCCCUUAUCGAAGUUACUAACGGACCAGGAAUAUUCAAACCAUAGUCUUCUUUUUGAUCGUUUUAAGUAUAAAAUAUUAAUUCUCUUAAGGGAGAAUAAUAAUAAUAAUAAUAAUAAUAAUAAUAAUAAUAAUAAUAAUAAUAUAAAAAUAAAAUUAAUUUUUCUAUUUAAAGUUUUAAUCUUAAAAAAAAUAAUUUUUAUCAAGCCUAAGUACUUUGUUAAUUACAAGUUGUUUUUUUCAUUAAGUUCAUUAAGUAACGUUCUCCAUUCAGACCAAGUGAUCUAUGGGGCAGUUUGUGGGUGUCAUGUGGCCAGCGAAACGACCAGCCACUUUUACUUUUCUUUAACUAAUGUCAGAUACCUCUUAGAGCUGGGUAAACUCAAAGGCGCUCUAAAGUUUCCAAAAGUCAGAAUCCCAGCCCUCCAGUUCGGAAGCUAAGCGCUUUACCACUCUGCCACAGUGCCUUCUAUAUAUUCAUUUAACGUACACUUGUAUUUCUUCAAAUAAUAUAUCUUAACCUUUUCCAUACAUUCAAAAUUAAUAAAAUGUUUCACUGAAUGGUCUACAGGGGCGUAACUAGGGAUUUGAAGGCCCGGGGGGAUUGACCACUUUGGGGGCCCCUUGCAUUUUGACAUUCGACAUAUGACAUGAGAUAAUGUACGCAAAAAUAUAUAAGCCCCAAAUCAAAUUGGUUCAGUAUAUCAGUAAACUUUUAAUGAAUAAUACCGUUGUUUAUUAGUUAAAUAAUGCAUAAGUGACAAAUCUAA